CUUGACAACAUAAAAGGUCCAGCCUGCCCAGUGACUCAAUUCAACGGCCGCGGUAUCCUAACCGUGCAAAGGUAGCGUAAUCACUUGUCUUCUAAAUAAAGACUAGUAUGAAAGGCACCACGAGAACUAAACUGUCUCCUUUUUCUAAUCAGUGAACCUAAUCUCCCUGUGAAAAAGCAGGAAUUUAAUAAUAAGACGAGAAGACCCUAUGGAGCUUUAAACACAUAACACUGCCCUUUUACACCACAAUGUUACAUGCACAAUGAUUAAAAGUUUUUAGUUGGGGUGACUACGGAGUAAACCCACCCUCCGCGAUGAAUCUUAAACAAGCAACAGCUUUAUACAUCAGCAAACUGACACCAUUGACCCAAUUUAUUGAUCAACGAAC
rnacentral:rRNA from 1 species